rnacentral:rRNA from 1 species
UGGCGGCGUGCUUCAUACAUGCAAGUCGAACGAAGAAUCUGGCUUCGGUCAGAGGAAAGUGGCGGACGGGUGAGUAAUGUGUAGAGAAUCUGCCUUUAGUGGGGGACGAACAGUUGGAAACGACUGCUAAUACCCAUAUGCGCGUAGCUGAGAUGCUAUUCGUGAAAACUCCGGUGCUAAAGGAUGAGUCUGCAUCUGAUUAGCUAGUUGGCGGUGUAAUGGACCACCAAGGCGACGAUCAGUAGCUGGUUUGAGAGGAUGAUCAGCCACAAUGGGACUGAGACACGGCCCAUACUCCUACGGGAGGCAGCAGUAGGGAAUUUUGCGCAAUGGGGGAAACCCUGACGCCAGCAACGCCGCGUGAUUGAAUAAGCCCUUCGGGGUGUAAAGAUCUGUCAGUAGGGACGAAACUUGACGGUACCUACAGAGGAAGCAUCGGCUAACUCCGUGCCAGCCGCCGC